ACAGAGGGUGCGAGCGUUAAUCGGAUUUACUGGGCGUAAAGCGUGCGUAGGCGGCUUUUUAAGUCGGAUGUGAAAUCCCUGAGCUUAACUUAGGAAUUGCAUUCGAUACUGGGAAGCUAGAGUAUGGGAGAGGAUGGUAGAAUUCCAGGUGUAGCGGUGAAAUGCGUAGAGAUCUGGAGGAAUACCGAUGGCGAAGGCAGCCAUCUGGCCUAAUACUGACGCUGAGGUACGAAAGCAUGGGGAGCAAACAGGAUUAGAUACCCUGGUAGUCCAUGCCGUAAACGAUGUCUACUAGCCGUUGGGGCCUUUGAGGCUUUAGUGGCGCAGCUAACGCGAUAAGUAGACCGCCUGGGGAGUACGGUCGCAAGACUA
rnacentral:rRNA from 1 species